rnacentral:rRNA from 1 species
UACGGAGGGUGCAAGCGUUAUCCGGAUUCACUGGGUUUAAAGGGUGCGUAGGCGGGCUUAUAAGUCAGUGGUGAAAGCCCGGAGCUUAACUUCGGAACUGCCAUUGAUACUGUAAGUCUUGAGUACACUUGAGGUGGGCGGAAUACAUCACGUAGUGGUGAAAUACUUAGAUAUGAUGUAGAACACCGAUUGCGAAGGCAGCUCACUAAAUUGUAACUGACGCUGAGGCACGAAAGCGUGGGGAUCAAACAGG